AUCCUUGCAGCAAGUUUCAGAACAGUGUAAGUGACAGUAAUGCUUCCAAUAUCUAAUAUGUCUUUUAAAAAAAAAUGCAGGAUACAAGGAGUGGUAAUGUCUCAAAGAUGACUAAAUUGAUAAACUGCACAGUUGUUUCCCUGGCCUGGCUAGACUGCUGGGCCGUUCCAACCCAGUGGCGUUGGUAGGGGUUGAAUUACAGUGAGCUGUGUCUGAUUUCAUGUCAGGUGAGCUUAAAAGUUGGGCAGUAAUAACGUUAAUUCCCACCUCCUGUGGCCAGAGCUGUGGCAGGCUUCAAGAAGAGAAAAGCUCCUCUCCCUUUGCAGAAGUAGGUUCCUCAGGGUUUUUAAAAAGAUGGAAAGGUACGGGAGGAAAGAUUAAUACUGUUACUGUGUGUUGUAUCUCUGCUCUGUGAUGUCUUUUGAUCUGUGAUGUCUUUUGUUGAAGGUAGAUGGGGUCAGAACUGGGAUUGGUGUGUGUUAGUG
rnacentral:lncRNA from 1 species